rnacentral:rRNA from 1 species
GACAGAGGUGCCAAGCGUUAGGCGGAAUCACUGGGCUUAAAGCGUGUGUAGGCGGAUUUCUAAGUACCUUGUGAAAUCCCACGGCUCAACCGUGGAACUGCUUGGUAUACUGGUUAUCUUGAGCCACUUAGGGGCGACCGGAACAAAUGGUGGAGCGGUGAAAUGCGUAGAUAUCGAGAGGAACACUAAGGGCGAAGGCAAGACUCUGGACAAGUGCUGACGCUCAUGCACGAAGGCUAGGGUAGCGAACGGG